GUUAAGUAGGGAAAAUGUAAGAAGAAUCAGCAGCGAUGACGGUGCCUUUGCUUUCGAAGAAGACAGUGAAGAAAAGGGUCAAGAAGUUCAAGCAACCCCAGACAGAGUGCAAAAUUGUAACCUUUGUCUAUACUGCUUACAGCAAAUGACAUUCUUAAACCUACUAAUGUCUCUGCCGGAUUCACCUUAUCUGACAGCAACUCAAACACUCAUGUCCAACUUGCUAAGAAAAGUGGAAAAGGGGAAUACAGGAAGUGUCAUGAGUCUUCCCAAGCAUAGUAGGAAGGUCACUCAUCAUGAAUAUGAAGUCGAAACAGCAAAUGGAAGAACAAUUACAAAAAAAGGAAAACCAAAAGUACUGUAAUGUUUGCGGACUCAAGCAGACAUAAAAAGCUAGAGACACCAAAAGCUGUUACACCUAGAGCUGUUACUAAGGGAACAAAGGGACAAGUUCAUACAAAUUCAUCUAAUAUAGGUGAUCUGUUUUCAGAAGGAUCUCUGAAUCCUUAUGCAGAUGAUCCCUAUGCAUUUGAUUAGAGUAUGAAGUGUUUGGGUCGACCGUGAAGAAGCCAGUGCAAAAAAAAAAAAGGAUUUGUCUACAAAAAAGGUGUCGAAGCUGAGAAGCUGAUUUGUGUUAGCGCGCUUGACAUGUUUGAGGCUGCUGAUGAUGAGGUUAUGUGUUGCUCUAUUCUCAUGCAUAGAUACCUGAACUUGGAGAUUGUUCAACUAUGUAGCCAGACCUUUAAGUUGUACCAUCGUGUGGCUUGUCGAAUUGAACUGACCAGGCUCCUAUGCUAUUUUAAGCGUUCAUCCGAUGUGAUCAACAAAGUGACGUGCACUAAAUACGCUGUUGUUGCUUGCUGCCCAGUUUAGAGAGGUUGUUUUUGGAUGCUUAUUUCUUGUGCUAUCUUGUCAGCUCGUGAACUUCUUUGAGCUUGUAGUGGCGUCGGUAUUAGUUUUGAGGCUUAUAUGCUAUUGAUACUAAUAGCAUUUAGUGGUUCUAUUCUUUUUAAAAAAUUUUCUUUGGGAUGCUCUGUUAUGCUGCCAGCUCAUAGCCUUUCUUCUUGGGCUGAGUUCUUAGGCAGCAGUAGUAUUUGGAAUAGUUAUAUGUAGACUAUAGACCACAUGUUUGUUA